rnacentral:rRNA from 1 species
UGGGGAAUAUUGGACAAUGGGGGAAACCCUGAUCCAGCGAUGCCGCGUGUGUGAAGAAGGCCUGAGGGUUGUAAAGCACUUUAGUUGGUGAGGAGAGGCUUGGUGCUAAUAGUACCAAGCGGAGACGUUAGCCAAAGAAUAAGCACCGGCAAACUCUGUGCCAGCAGCCGCGGUAAUACAGAGGGUGCAAGCGUUAAUCGGAAUGACUGGGCGUAAAGAGCUCGUAGGCGGUUGGGUGUGUCACAGGUGAAAGCCCCGGGCUUAACCUGGGAAGGUCCUGUGAAACUAUCUAACUAGAAUAUAGGAGAGGGAAGUGGAAUUUCCGGUGUAGCGGUGAAAUGCGUAGAUAUCGGAAAGAACACCAGUGGCGAAGGCGACUUUCUGGCCUAAUAUUGACGCUGAGGAGCGAAAGCGUGGGGAGCAAACAGG